GAACUUUCUCUGGUUUCUCCUACUCAGC
rnacentral:piRNA from 1 species